UCAAGUGUUUCACGCGCCCGGCCCCUUGGGGGAUGGACGGGACUGGCCCAGCGGCCUUGCGGAGCUCGCAGCCCUGCUUGGCUUGGAGCGGAGCCCUGCGCGGUGGCAAUGGUGGAUCUUCCUCCCUUGUUAUUGCCCCGCUCCGCGCCUGGGGGCAGUUGGGAGGGCUGCAAUACCUGGGCCUUCCUACCGACUCCUUUGCCUUCCAGUAGGGGCAACUGACCCCUUCGUCCACUUGUGAGAGACAAGUCUGGUACCACGUUUUGUUUGUAGCUUUCAGAGUAAUGAGACAAACUGAAUCCUUCAUCUAGGAGGCAAACGGACAGCACCCAUGUCUCAUGAAAGAAGGAUCACAGCCCAUCUAGCUGUAAAGCACUGCAAUCAUUUUGGUUGGUCUCAGAAUCAUAAUUUGGAAGGAUUCUGUAGUGAGUCAUGUAGCUCAUCUUCUCUGCAUUGUGGCAAGAGCACAAAGCAUAAUGACAUCCAUCCCUAACAGG